rnacentral:rRNA from 1 species
UACGUAGGGCGUAAGCGUUGUCCGGAAUUAUUGGGCGUAAAGAGCUCGUAGGCGGCCUGUUGCGUCCGCUGUGAAAUCCCGGGGCUUAACCCCGGGCUUGCAGUGGAUACGGGCAGGUUGGAGGCAGGCAGGGGAGAACGGAAUUCCCGGUGUAGCGGUGAAAUGCGCAGAUAUCGGGAGGAACACCGGUGGCGAAGGCGGUUCUCUGGGCCUGUACUGACGCUGAGGAGCGAAAGCGUGGGGAGCGAACAGG